UACGGAGGGGGCUAGCGUUGUUCGGAAUUACUGGGCGUAAAGCGCACGUAGGCGGCUUUGUAAGUUAGAGGUGAAAGCCCGGGGCUCAACUCCGGAAUUGCCUUUAAGACUGCAUCGCUCGAAUUGUGGAGAGGUAAGUGGAAUUCCGAGUGUAGAGGUGAAAUUCGUAGAUAUUCGGAAGAACACCAGUGGCGAAGGCGACUUACUGGACACAUACUGACGCUGAGGUGCGAAAGCGUGGGGAGCAAACAGG
rnacentral:rRNA from 1 species